ensembl:lncRNA novel transcript
UGCAAGCAGCUUUUAGCCCUGGCAGCACAGAAGCAGAAGAAUUGAGGAAUUCUCUGCCACUCCUGUAGUAUCCUUUAACAGGUUAAGUGGUUGUCAAGCUUCUUUUUUAAAUUUGUAAACCUAUUUGAAUCAAUUUGUGACUCCUGCAUUCCGGCCCGGCAGAAAGAGCUCGAAGAGACGCAGAGCGCGGCGCGCUCCCCCACGGCCCUCCAGGCCGGCGGGUGAGAUGGGGAGAUGAGCUAGGGGGCCCCGGACUGGCUGCGCCCUCUGCCCUGCAGACACGGGGGGCCCCGCUGUGGCUGCCCACUGGCCGGGCGCAGGCCUCGAAGCCGCGGCGAACCUCUCUUCCCCACCCCACCUCGGUGACUGUUGGCGGCGGCUCUCCCUGCCCAGACCCCGCCGCCGGAUCCUGCCCGGCCUCGACGAAACCCCGCCGAGCCGCCGAGACGCAGUGUCUCCGGGUGGCGGCGGGAGAGGCGGGCCGGGAAGCAUGGCGGCCGCCCCAACACCGCGCGGCGGAGACCGUUAGGGUGUGCAGGGCCCGGGAAGGCGGUCUCGCGACGCAGGCAAGCUCGGCCGCCUCUUUAGGCCACGGAGCCGCGCGAGUCCGGGCCCGGGUGACCGCUCUGUUCCCACUGGACGAGACCUGCCGAGUCCUCAGGACAACGGACAAAGGCCUUAACGGGCUUGGGAGGUGAGCGAAGUCCCGAACGAUGACGGGUGGAACAGUUAGCGGCCUUCGGGCGGUUGGUCUCGUUCUACCAGAGCUUGCUGUCGGAAGAGAGAAAUGGUGGAAUGACAAGCCACGUCUGGCCUCUUGGAAAUGCCCACCACCCUUUGGGAAGAUUUACUGGCCGUUUAUGGAAGGCCUGUGUAUUUAAUAUGAAACAGCUGCUCUCAACACUACCCAAACCUUUUAAUAGAAAACAUUUGCCACAUCUAGCCCUUCUAUGAGCUAGAUGGAAAGAGGUUGCUGAUGUAUGAUAAAGUUAGAAAAUCACACAUCUUGUAAAUUCUCAUUUGCUUAAAAGAAAUCAUAGAAAAUAAAUGUCUUCUGGAGACGACUUUUGGAAAUGGAGUUGUUAACACGGCCUCUGGAAGCGAGACGUCCACGUUUGUUAAGUGGUUUAGAGGACAUGGAGCUGGAAGACCUGAGAAGGAAGAGAAGAAGCUUCUGUGCCAGACUGGUCAUAUUUAGAAGACAUUUUCAUAUUCUCUCCAUUGUUUUGUGUGCAUUUCAUUCCUCACUACUGUGUAUAUGGUUGACAAUGCUAAGCUUUUUUGAAAUGUCUAUUCUUUUUAGAUAUUCUGAAGUGCCUGAUAUAUGUAGAAAAAAAUAACCUUUUGUAAAUAUCUUUUUGUUACAAUUCAUAUGAAAUGUUUGGUGGGGGAAUGGCCCAAUCACCUGUUGAGUAAUACUCAUUGUGUUUGUGCACUGGUUCAGGGGAGGAGGGGGAAGUGCAGAGAUCUCUAUGCCACUGUGCUUACAGCGAGGCAAGAUUAAUCAUUAUCUCUGCGCAUUUUGUUUUACUUGUCUGUGUAUAUAGUGUACAUAAAGGACAGACAAGUCCUGAUUUACAACAUCUAGUCUUUCUAGAUAUUAAAGAGGUUGCCAGUACAUGAUAAAAGUAGAGUUAGUAAACUAAUAUAUUUUGUACAUUUUGUUUUAGAAGUCCUAGGAAAGAUUGUCUUCUGAAAAUUUGAGCAUUCUUGCCCGCUGGGUUGAUGGAGAUGGGAAGGGUUCUAGGCCAGAAUGUUCCUAUUUGGAAGACUCUUUCAAAUUAUAACUGUUGUCACAUGUUUGCAGUUUAUUCAAGACUGCUGUGUUCGUAGUGGACAAAUGAACUCCUUACUUGAAACAUCUAGUCUAUCUAGAUGUUUAGAAGUGCCCAAUGUAUGUUAAAUGUAGAGGUAGUAAAAUACCACUUCGUAAAUAUCUUUUUGCUAAAAUUCAUGGGGAAUGCUGUCUUUUGGAAAUUGAAUUGUGAAGCCACCUUUGUGAGCAGUAUAGUACUGUCUAUACUUGUUCAGUGGUUUAGAGGAGAUGGGAGGGAAGACAUUGCAAAAGAUAAUAUGCCAGUGUGUUCAUACUUGGACAUUUUCAGACACCAUUUUUUGCAUGUUUUGUGCAUGUUGUUUUGCUCUGUAUAUAGUGUAUAAAACGGACAAAUGAGUCCUAAUUUUGCAACAUCUAGUGUCUAGAUGUUAAAGAGGUUGCCAGUGUAUGACAAAGUAUUUAGUACAAUUAGCAUAUUUUGU